AUGCCUGGGUCUAUCAAAAAGCUUUUGAUUACUUUUGUCUGGGUUGUCUCAAGAUAUUACAUACCAAAGGUCAUGCAAAUUGGACAAAUGCUCCAGGUGAAAAAUUUACAUUCACAAAUAUAAAUAACACAGAGGAAAAAUAAAGAUAUAAUUAAGUGCAAAAAUCACUGACUGCUGUAAAAGAAUCUAAAUGAUUUUGAUCCUUUUUAUCUCUCCAACACAAUAUUUCAAUCAACUGUGCACUUGCAAUACUGUUUUUGUUUUGCGCUUUACGUUUCUGCGCGUGUAGCUUUGUGAGACUGUCUUGACUUGUUGGCGGAGUCAAAGUAUUGGGGUCUAAAAAACAGGGCUGGCUCCCUUGACAUUGCAUCAUCAGCUGACUGUCGCAGACUGCAUUAGAGGAUGUUCAAGAUACAUGAACACAGGCUGGAUCUCCGGAGCAAUGAAGCAUCUGCAUGUGAAAGCGACAGAGGGCACACUUAGCUUGGCUUCAGAGUUUGAACUGGAAGAAAUUAAAUUAAACAUUCAAGGCUCAAUUGACACAGAUUGUCCUGCUUGAAAACUUUAUACUAAACGAUGUUGUGCUCUAGUUUAAAAAUAUGACACCACUGUAUUAUGUUAUUGAGAAGAUGAAAAGGUAUUGUCUUGUCAUGUUCAUGUUUUUUUAUUUUGAAGUUCUAAGUUCUCAUGUUCAUGACUUUUAUUUUGAAAUUAUGUCUUGCCAUGUUGUCUAUUGUUUUCCUGUUCCCUAUGUGUCAUGUUCUCAUUGGUUUACUGUCUGUAUAUAUAGCCCUCAUGUUUCCAUUGUCCCUUGUUGGUUAUUGAAUGUAGUUGCUGUGUUUGUAUUGUUUCAUGUUCAUGCUCACGUUUAUGGAUAACAUCAUGUCAAGGAUUUCAUGGUUUAUGUUUGGAUCACUUUAAAUUUUUCUAUCUGCACUAAGAUCCAGUCUCAUCUCAUGUUUGGACAGCACAUUCCAGAUGAUCAAGGACUGUUUGUGUUUUGUGAUAGUUGUGAUCACACUGAUAGAAGGGUGGCCAUACUGAAGAUGUUAAAAUAAAACUUUUUAUUUAUUUACACAACUUAUAGUCUCUUUCUUUUUUGUGAGAAGAUUUGAAAAGCCUAAAUCCUUGAAUUUUAAUAAUUAUUCAAUGUGAAGCACACUAUUUCAAAUUUGGCUUACAAUCACUAGACUGACCUGGGCAGCAUACUGUACCUCCCAUUCACACCUGACCCAAAUGUCUGCCAUAAUGGAUCUAUUAUGAGUUUAGACUCUGUUUAAGUAUUAUUAUUAUUUACAGCAUCUACAAUAUUGUCAUAUUGUUAGAAUUUUUUUAAUAGUUCACAAAUGUAUGGGGAUCACUAUCAACCCACUGUGCCAGUUUAUGUUGCCUUCCCAAAAUUAUUUGAUUCCCUCUAUGUAUCUCUAACAUUACCAGCUGUAAAUUUUUCCUUCACCUUCUUCUUGUAAUCUAGUUGCAUCUCCUUUAGCUUGCAUUUAACUUCUUUAUUUAGCUCUUUUACCUUAUCUCUCAAGUUCUUUUAAAAAGCUACUUUUUUCCCAAUUGGUGCUGCCAAAACAGAUACUUUGAGAUUAUCUAUUAACCCCUUAUUCCAUGACUGCACCUGCUGAACAACCGGUUUAAUCCUUUUUAACAUCUUUCCAUAACAAUAUGAUCCAAGCACCCUAGUGGUGGAUGUGACCUUGGUACAUAAGCACCAUCCACAUUAGCGUAACAUUGUCUAGUUUAUUCAGCCUUGUUCGGCAAGUUACAUUCUUUUCUAAGUUUGGCAGAAGCACAGAUAACUCACAGUUGUUAAAGUCUCUGAGGAGAAUCACUGGGUCACCUGCUGAGUUGCGCAACACCCUGUUAUAACUUGCAGCAAUGCCCUUGGCUGCAAAUUAAAAUUUUGGCCCAGAAACAAAAGUUAUUUGUCCAAACCCUUGAUGCAAGUAAUGUGAUCUAAAUAAAAAAAAAACAUAAGUUUCUUCCUUUUCCUCUUCACACAUAGUGUUUGUAAGAAACAAAUGAUUUCGAGAGGAACAGAUAAUUUCAUAUAAAGGACUUGAUGAAUCCUUCAUAUUGUAUCAGAUAGUAAAUCCUUGCGGCUUUAGGUCAUCUUGCUCACAUGUCCGUUGUUGCCAGAGCUUCCCAACUCUGCUUCAACUCUGGACUCACAUCUACAAUUGUA